UACGAAGGGGGCUAGCGUUGCUCGGAAUGACUGGGCGUAAAGGGCGCGUAGGCGGUGGACACAGUCAGGCGUGAAAUUCCUGGGCUCAACCUGGGGGCUGCGUUUGAUACGUGUUUGCUAGAGUGGGGAAGAGGGUCGUGGAAUUCCCAGUGUAGAGGUGAAAUUCGUAGAUAUCGGGAGGAACACCAGUGGCGAAGGCGAUCACCUGGGGUUGUUCUGACGCUGAGGAGCGAAAGCUAGGGGAGCAAACGGG
rnacentral:rRNA from 1 species